rnacentral:misc_RNA from 1 species
UUUUACUUUAUAACUUUGUGAUUUCACUUUACUAUCUAUGUUAAUUGUUGAGAUAUCCCUUAUCUCUUUAGGUUAUCUAUUGUAAGUGUUAUUAUAGGAAUACACUUCCUAAGUCUAAUAGGUAGAAGGUCUGAAAAACUAUCGGGUGACUUGAGGAACACACAGAAAUGUCUACUGCUUGGAGGUGGUGAAUAGCCCAGGUGGGUCGCUGGUUAGAGACGAGUCAGCCAGAGUUGGUGCCGGUGAAAAAGCUUGCUGUAUUCUCUCUCACACGCUGGCGCAUGCAAAUAGGGCAGAAAGACAAAAAUGGAGCAUGUGAAACACAAGCGCCUUCUCUGGUGACAGUAUUCUAUUGGGGACCUCACUGGCAUCUGGCGCUUCUUUCUAGGUGGGCGGUGACACCUAAAACUUCCCACCAAACUAGGAAGUGCUUCGAGGGUUGAGGAGCAGAGACUGUGAGCUAAGGGACUGGAACCUAGGCUCUGAUACCAUAAAAGAAUAGAAGGAAGAAGAAGGGAAUGAUUUGGGAGACGAAUAUAUAUACGUUAAAUUACAAAUAGGUAGUGUAUUCCUAUUAUUGUAACACUUACGUACAACAUAUAACCUAAAGAGAUGAGGGAUAUCUCAACAUUAAUAAAACAAGUACAAUUGCAUAGAAUCAACUUUUAUAAGGUAAAUAUCACAUUGUGGUUUGAUGUUCUAAUCCCAAAUUAAAGUUGCCUUUCUCCCUUCCAUUUAACUUGAAUGUCUAGAGCAGUGGCAAAGAAGUGCUUCUAGGUUUAGGACUAUUCGAUCUAUUAGAAAUUAUACAGGGAAGGGACUAAUUUAAACGAGAUGGAUGAAGAGGAAGAAGCAGUGUUUUGUGUGUGUGUUGAGCUAUGGAUGGUGGUGGUUGUUAUAUUCUGAACUCUUGCUUGCACUUGGCUUCUGUGAUAAAAAUAUGGCUUG